rnacentral:rRNA from 1 species
GACGAACGCUGGCGGCGUGCUUAACACAUGCAAGUCGAACGGAAAGGCCCUGCUUGCAGGGUACUCGAGUGGCGAACGGGUGAGUAACACGUGGGUGAUCUGCCCUGCACUUCGGGAUAAGCCUGGGAAACUGGGUCUAAUACCGGAUAGAAGCCAUUUUUAGUGUGAUGGUUGGAAAGUUUUUUCGGUGUAGGAUGAGUUCGCGGCCUAUCGGCUUGUUGGGGGGGUAAUGGCCUACCAAGGCGGCGACGGGUAGCCGGCCUGAGAGGGUGGACGGCCACAUUGGGACUGAGAGACGGCCCAGACACCUACGGGAGGCAGCAGUGGGGAAUAUUGCACAAGGGGCGCAAGCCUGAUGCAGCGGCGCCGCGUGGGGGAUGACGGUCUUCGGGUUGUAGACUCCUUUCGCUAGGGACGAAGCUUUUUGUGACGGUACCUAGAUAAGAAGCACCGGCUAACUACGUG